UACUGCUAAAAAGAGGCUCUAAUCUUAUGACCUCACUAUGUGUAGAAUGUUAGCUUGGUCCUAUUUUCUCUUAACUGCCAACCGAGAAAUGUCAUCUGUUAUGUGUGUUUUGAUAUGCUUCCAGGAGACAGAGCUAUAGAGUCCCAGAUAUAAACAGCUGAUGACUACUGGAACAAGAACGGGAGAGGGAAGACUGGAAACUGAUACUCUGAAAGUCAGUGCCAUCUCUCAAAGGCAUAUUCACAUGUGUGAGAAGAGACAGCACAAGGAAGAGAUCAACUACAUAUUCAUAAGAAUGAGGGGGAAAAUGCAUUCAACCUUUCAGUUAAUUUGUCCAUUAAAAGCAAGGGUACUUCUUGCAGCAUCAGAAAAACAAAGAAAUAGAGAACACAUGUACCUAAAAUAUUAAACAAUCUUCCAAAGCA